rnacentral:tRNA from 1 species
GUCUCAGUAGCUCAGUAGGAUAGAGCGUUCGCCUCCUAAGCGAAAGGCCGGGGGUUCGAAUCCCUUCUGGGACGCCA